UGAACGCUGCGACGGCGCGAGCAGCGGGGCGGAGCCACCGGCUCGUGCUGACGUCGGAAGGGCCCGCACGCACGGCGCGCUUCCUUAUUCCCCGCCUCCUGCGGAGUUCAGAGAAGCCCGGCUUGCCUGCGUGACCCGCACGCCAGCCUGUACCCAAUGGGACGCCGCAGAAGCGUGCGUGCGUACGACCCGCUGACACCUCCCACCUCUUCACCUUCUUUGCGUGGAAACCGCGAGAUCGAGGUAGAGCCUUGCUCCUUGCAGCGCUAGUGACACGUUUCUCUGUUUUCUCUAACGUGCCUCCUGCGUCGCUGCACCCUCAUGUCGACGGGAAGGGUGCGCCACCCAGUAUUCCUGGGCUGGGAUCAAAAUGCAAGUCCCAGAAAUAUUCCUCGAGGUAUGAGGGCAAGGAUUUUCUGUGGUUAUUGGAAUGGCAUCUGAAGCCCCACUGACUGGAAUCCAACCCUGUCUUCACCGCGUCCUUUGGGAGAGGGUUGAUCAGCCUCCUGACAGUGCAAAAAAUGAGUCAAAAGCCUCCUUGCCCAGAAGUUUUCCUUUUUGCAUGAAGGAAGGAAAAUGAAAACAGCAAGUUCUCACAGUGGUGGUGGUUGCAGAACAACACAUUUCAGGAUGACAGCUGAAGAGGCAAAGUGUACUCCUGACAGGACCAGCUACAGAAUCUGCAGGAUCCAGUGCAAAAUGAAAAUGUGGGGUCCCUUAUUCAUGAAUUAUUCAGAAUUUCAAAAUAGUGACAAUAGAGUAUUAAACAAACAUGAGCUCUUGUAAGCAUGGAGCUCUUUGUGAUAGCAUGGGGUCUCUGCCCAUCAAGCUGACCUUAUUCCUGCUGUCCAGGAAUAGUGAUAGCAAAGAUUCAGAAGGCAUUAAUGGAAAACAAUAAGACAGAAAAUCAAUAUCAUCUGAAAUUUCACCACCUGGAAACAACUGUUGUUAUCCUUUUGGUAUAUAUCCUCAAGAUUAUUCUAUAUAUGUAUACAUAGGUAGACAAGUAUUCAUACAGUUCUUAUACGAUGGAAAUGGUAUAUCAUAUAUUCUCUUCUGUAGCUUUUUUUUUUUUAAAUUAAUUAUAUUUUAGGGAGCUUUGCAUGUAGUAAAUAUAGAUCAUUUCAAUCCUAUUGUAUAGAGGUUCCAUGAUCCAUUUAAUCAAGCCCUACUGUUGGGUAUCUGAGGGUCUUGAGUUUUUCAUUAUUACAAAUGAUGCACAUUGAAUAUCAGUAAAACUGAGAGAAUUGAAUAGGUUAAUCAGUACAAAGCCCUCCACAGAGUACUUAGCAAAGAGCAAGGUCCUUAUAAAUGCUAGUGUUAUUUUUAUAUUGUCAAAUAGCCCUGUAUAAUGGUGAACUAAUUUAUGUUCCCAACAGCAGGGUAAGAGGGCUUGGUUUUCCUAACUCCUUGCCAGUUGUUUCAAUUUUUGCCUUUUUGUAUUUCUUUCUCUGUUAAUGGCCUGUUCAUGUUCUUUGCCAGUUCUCCUUGUUGGAUUCCUAUUGCUUUGACAUUUUUAAUUGAUUUCUGUAUUGGGGCUAUCAAUCCUUCAUAAUAUGAGUAGCAAAUACUACCCCACCCCAGGUUUUUUUUUGUUUGGUUUUGUUUGCUUUAACCUCAUAGAUAUUUUUAAGUUUAGUAUGGUUAAAUCUGUCCCAUCUUUUCCUUUAGGAUUUCUGUCUUUGCUGUCCUCCUUUAGAAAGUCUUUUUGCCACAGAACAGGUUUAGAAUUCAGUGGUGGGGAAGGCUUUCCUGCCUUAGAUUAGCUCCAGCAGGUUUCAUCUGAGGCUUCAUUCUUCUGGGGUGUGGUUUUCCAAAUUCUGUCAAUGGAAUUCACAACUCUAGACUACUUAAAACGUAUAUGGGAGGGGAAUACCUUUAUUAACUUUAAAUCUACUUGUGAAAACACAAGAUGUAUUAAAAAAAUGAGUGUUUUUCUAUCUUCA